GGCUUUGUGGUCUAGUGGUAUGAUUCGCGCUUCGGGUGAUAGCAAUAUCCCAUCACACGUCAACGUGUGACAAGAUUGUGCGAGGUCUCGGGUUCGAUCCCCGACAAAGCCC